rnacentral:rRNA from 1 species
AUUGAACGCUGGCGGCAGGCCUAACACAUGCAAGUCGGGCGAGCGGCGGACGGGUGAGUAAUGUAUGUGUACCUGCCUGAUUGAGGGGGAUAACUACGGGAAACUGUAGCUAAUACUGCCUACCAUAUGAUGAGCGCAAGUGGGAUUAGGUAGUUGGUGGGGUAAAGGCUCACCAAGCCGACGAUCUCUAGCUGGGCUGAGAGGAUGACCAGCCACACGGGGACUGAGACACGGCCCAGACUCAUACGGGAGGCAGCAGUGGAGAAUAUUGCGCAAUGGGGGCAACCUGACGCAGCCAUGCCGCGUGAAUGAAGAAGGCCUUCGGGUUGUAAAGUUCUUUCAGUAGCGAGGCGUUAACUACAGAAGAAGCACCGGCUAACUCCGUGCCAGCAGCCGCGGUAAUUC